GAUGAAGAACGCAGCGAAAUGCGAUAAGUAAUGUGAAUUGCAGAAUUCAGUGAAUCAUCGAAUCUUUGAACGCACAUUGCGCCCCCCAGUAUUCUGGCGGACAUGCCUGUUCGAGCGUCAUUUCAACCAUCAAGCCCUGCUUGUGUUGGGGUCCUGCGGCUGCCCGCAGGCCCUGAAAACCAGUGGCGUGCUCGCUAGUCACACCGAGCGCAGUAGCACAUCUCGCUCAGGGCGUGCGGCGGGCUCCAGCCGUUAAAGCACCCACCUUUCGCAAGGUUGACCUCGGAUCAGGUAGGAAUACCCGCUGAACUUAAGCAUAUCAAUAAGCGGAGGA
rnacentral:misc_RNA from 1 species